UACGUAGGGGGCUAGCGUUGUCCGGAAUCAUUGGGCGUAAAGAGCGUGUAGGCGGCCCGGUAAGUCCGCUGUGAAAGUCGGGGGCUCAACCCUCGAAUGCCGGUGGAUACUGUCGGGCUAGAGUGCGGAAGAGGCGAGUGGAAUUCCUGGUGUAGCGGUGAAAUGCGUAGAUAUCUGGAGGAACACCGGUGGCGAAGGCGGCUACCUGGCCCAACAUUGACGCUCAGACCCGAAAGCAUGGGGAUCAAACAGG
rnacentral:rRNA from 1 species